GCUGCAGAUUAGCAAGAGGGUAGAACUGAA
rnacentral:piRNA from 1 species